AGGAGAGACAACGGAAAUGGAGGUCGCAGAGGUGGAGGAAGCACUGAGGGUGUUGGAUUCUUCUCUAUCCCACAUCAAAUGGCGCCUCAAAUCUCCAUCCAAGCAUCGACUCCAAUUAGAUGUUCUGGCAUUGUGCACAGAGAUGAGGCCAGUAAUAAUGGUUGACUAUGGUGGAAAGAUGCCUGAACUGCAGGAGCAACUGUGUGCACUUCUUAAACUUUGCCAACAGGAGUCGGCUAUUUUUGAGCAUCUGAGAGUGAUGGUUAUUGAAGAUAUGAUAUAUUUGAUACAUGUAAGGGGACUUGCAGAGUAUGUCAAGUCAAGUUUGAAUUCUGAAGUAGAAUUGUUCUUUGUAAACCUAGAACAAGAUCCUCCAAAGAUGGUGACGCAAGCAGAAGAAAGCUCAUUAGUAACAGAACUUAUAAGAGUGCAGAAGUUAUUCUCUUUGUUUUUUCCUCUCAAUGAAAUGGACAAUGAUCUCUUGUCUUGUCACAUGAAGGAUACUGCAGCUAAUGCCGAAUCAUCUACCAACAAACCCAUAAUUUCUCAGUCCCCUGAGUUUAUUGAUCUCAGUAGUCGCAUGCAGGACACUCAGGUCACUGUGCCAACUUUAAAUGGGUAGAUUCUUGUUCUGAGAAAUGGUUCUAUUAUACUUGGAUUACUGAUAUGCACAACACUCAUGCUAAAGGUGAUUCAAAAGAUAAUGGUAUGGUUUCCAUAACAGAAUCAAGAUUCGUGUAGGAUUGCUAACUUAUGUAGGGAAUAUCAGCAAUUUGUAUCAUGCUUCUUUAAGACAGUUCUCAUUGGGCACUAGUGUAUAGGAUUCUAGCUUCUGAGUAGAACUUUAGUAGUUCUUCAAGAAUAAAUAUGGAAGAGCCGGUCACAUGCUCUGUUAUUCAACACAGCAGUAAAAGAUGGAUAUUUGUUGAUCUACAUGCAUAUCAACUGGUAUGUUAUUGUUGCAAUAUGCUUUAUUUCAUUUUAUCAAAAAUACUUAUUCUUAGGUCCUGAUCUGGUGAUGUCUUGUCAUACCAUGUGCCCUUCUUGCGUUAGGAAAUAGGAAGUGUAUGUGACCCUGAAAGAUUUCAUAUCUCUGGCUGUUGAAAAGUAAACGAUGAAUAGAGUUUCCAGAUUGAGAAGUUUGUUGCAACAAGUGUGUUGCAUCUCUGACUGGUAGAAUCCUUUUUUUCUCCAUUUCCUUGUAGAUCAUGACUGACCACAUAUAUUUAUGUCCAACAUGCUUGUUUCUUUUUGUUAAUUGUAAAUGGGUAGCUUAUUUGUUUUAGAUUGUGAUUAAAUUAGCACUGUAUUGUUUUAGUACCAUCUUGUUAUGGUAUAGUAAUCUUGUAUUUAAUGUACUUCAGCUGGCUUCUUGGUUAUCCGGUUGUGUACUUGUUCAGCAAGGAACACAUUGCAGAUGCCAUUUAUAAUCUUUCCACCAAGUAUCUUCGCAUCUUCAGAAUUUUAGUCAGCAGGUCUGUUUUUCCUGAUUAUUGUCUGGAUUAUGUUAAACACUCCACAGGUCAUAUAGAAUUUAAAGGAUGAUUUCUAAUGGUAACAAAUGAUGGUUAGUAUUUUGAAAUGUGUAUGCUGUGAAAUCUUUAUUUUCACUUUCAGAAUUUCUUAACUUAUUGACAUCCUUCACUAAACUUGCUUUUUAUCUCAUUGAUUUAUGUGAAGGUAAAUUUUGGUGCAUUCAGUAAAAGUCUUUUUUAAAGAAAAAGAUAGAAUCCUUCAGGUCUCAGCGCCACAAAAUUACUAUAAAAUGGCGCUCUUUUGCAGUUUAGCAAAUUCUUUUACUUUUAACAUUUAAUCAUGUGUGCUUUCAUUAAUUUUUGCAUUGCCCAUUUAUGGAUUCCUGCAGGAGCAUUUCACCCAAUAAAGGAUCGCAGCCAGAAGAACUGAUGAGUUUCUCAGUGCCUUAUGAACUGAGCAUGGGAGGAAGCAAGGAACAGUGGGCAGAGGCAUUUCUGGCCCAAAUGCAAUCAAGAUGGGAAAAAUGCAAAAAUAUUUGGAGGCCAUUGCAGAUGGAGGUGAGUGAAUGCUAUCCACAAGCAAUUGUGUUGUAGUGAUAAGUGCUAAACCUGCUGUUUGCCAUCAAACCAGUACCUUUACCUGUCCACCAAGAAAUAGUGUUGUUUCUUCUCACGGCAAUUAUCAUUUUGGGGAUAAACUUCCUAUGAUGUGAUUUAAUUACCUAGCAAAAUAAGAAUGCUUUAUCACUUUAAGAUGUGUAGAUAUUGCAUGAAAAAGUCUGCUUUACAUUAGCAAAAAGUCUGUUUUACAUUAGCAAUGGGAUGAUGGAAUUUG
rnacentral:misc_RNA from 1 species